GAGCUUGCUUCAUUGCCGGCGACCGGCGCACGGGUGAGUAACGCGUAUCCCACCUUCCGCUUACUCGGGGAUAGCCUCUCGAAAGAAAGAUUACAUACCCGAUGGUAUCUUAAGCACGCAUGAGAUUAAGAUUAAAGAUUUAUCGGUAAGCGAUGGGGAUGCGUUCCAUUAGGCAGUUGGCGGGGUAACGGCCCACCAAACCUACGAUGGAUAGGGGUUCUGAGAGGAAGGUCCCCCACAUUGGAACUGAGACACGGUCCAAACUCCUACGGGAGGCAGCAGUGAGGAAUAUUGGUCAAUGGGCGAGAGCCUGAACCAGCCAAGUAGCGUGAAGGAUGACGGCCCUACGGGUUGUAAACUUCUUUUGUGCGGGAAUAAAGGAACCUACGUGUAGGUUUUUGCAUGUACCGUAACGAAUAAGCAUCGGCUAACUCCGUGCCAGCAGCCGCGGUAAUACGGAGGAUGCGAGCGUUAUCCGGAUUUAUUGGGUUUAAAGGGAGCGUAGACGGGUUUUUAAGUCAGCUGUGAAAGUUUGGGGCUCAACCUUAAAAUUGCAGUUGAAACUGGAGACCUUGAGUACGGUUGAGGCAGGCGGAAUUCGUGGUGUAGCGGUGAAAUGCUUAGAUAUCACGAAGAACUCCGAUUG
rnacentral:rRNA from 1 species